rnacentral:rRNA from 1 species
CGCGUAGGCGGCUAUUUAAGUCUGGAGUGAAAGUCCUGCUUUUAAGGUGGGAACUGCUUUGGAUACUGGAUAGCUUGAGUGCAGGAGAGGUAAGCGGAAUUCCCGGUGUAGCGGUGAAAUGCGUAGAGAUCGGGAGGAACACCAGUGGCGAAGGCGGCUUACUGGACUGUUACUGACGCUGAGGCGCGAAAGUGUGGGGAGCAAACAG